rnacentral:rRNA from 1 species
GACGAACGCUGGCGGCGUGCUUAACACAUGCAAGUCGAGCGGUAAGGCCCUUUCGGGGGUACACGAGCGGCGAACGGGUGAGUAACACGUGGGUGACCUGCCCUCAGUUCUGGGAGUAAGCCUGGGAAACCGGGUCUAAUACUGGAUAUGACCUCAUGACGCAUGUUGUGGGGUGGAAAGCCUUGUGCGACUGAGGAUGGGCCCGCGGCCUAUCAGCUUGUUGGUGGGGUGAUGGCCUACCAAGGCGACGACGGGUAGCCGGCCUGAGAGGGCGACCGGCCACACUGGGACUGAGACACGGCCCAGACUCCUACGGGAGGCAGCAGUGGGGAAUCUUGCGCAAUGGGCGAAAGCCUGACGCAGCGACGCCGCGUGAGGGAUGACGGCCU